rnacentral:lncRNA from 1 species
GGACUUCUCAGAUUUCCGACCCAGAGAAUGGAAGGAUAAUAGCACUUGGCCAGAUCAUGGGGUGGAGGGUUGCUCAGGAGGGCUCCCUCCCCAGCAGCCUUCCCCAGGCCCCAGCAGCUCUGGACCCUAAUGCCUACUUGUCUGUGCCCAGCCUGGCAGAGAGGGAGGGCCUGGUGGCUUCAGUGAAAAUCUAAAUGACCUCCUCAAGUAGGCAGUGGCAAGUCUCCAGGUAGAAGGCCACUGGGUGGAGAGAUUGGAGGCUCAAGUCAGCCAAGCAACUGCUGCCAGGAACAAGUUAAGAUGACCCCCAAGGGUCCCCAGCACUUGUCCCCUUGUCCCUUGGUGGAGCCUCCACCCUAAGCAGAAGACAAAAGUGAAUCUCCAGGACCUGGAAGACCUCAUAGCGGCACGCCGGUGAGGUCUGUCUCCUGCUGUACGGGCCAAGAAAUCAUCUCACAAAAGGGCGCCUCCACAGAACCUCUGCCCCACCUCUUAUUUCAGGAUGCAGACCCUAACUCCGUGCCUAGCACAGGGAAGCAGUCAAUGAACACCAGAGGAAUAGAUGAACCUAUUUGGAAGGGCAAGAAGUCGGAGAUUCCUCUGACAGACAUCUUCUCAAAGUUGCCUACUGCUCCAUCUCUGACGCCCCAAACACGAGACAAGGGGCAACCGAAAGGGCAGUGAAGACUCCCCCAGCAAUCCGCGACUCCGUGCUUGAGGAGAAGCUGAAAUCUUUUCAUCAUCCAAUCGCCAGCAGCUCACUGGAAAGCAGGCUGAAGUUCUGGAAACAAUCGGACUCACGAAAAUCAACAGGGAUGGCUACACAUUAAUUGUCCGAAGUCCAAAAUUCUGCCACUCCUUAAAGGAGGCAGAGGAGAAGGAACUAAAAACCAAGGACAAAAAAGCAACCAAGGUUAGGCAGAGAAGGACUCCAGCGCAAGGAGUAAGACUUCCAGAGGGCGAGCCGUGGCGCCCAGGGCAGAGCGGAGGCCGAGGUUUCUCUGGCAUCCUGUCUCCCACUGGGCAGGCAGGCGCGCUCUCCGGAGGAACACACAUCUUCUUCGGCCCCUCUCUCCGAGGUCUGCUCCAAGAAAAAGAAAACACGUUUAACCAGAGAUAGAGGGUAGAAAGGGCAGCCGGCUCUUAAAACUUGGGCCAUAAAUGUGCUCGAAGGUUGGUUUUGCCCUAAAAGGAAAUAAAAUUUAUGGUUUGUCAGAUAAGUAGAAAGGAAAACCCUCAGGAUGGAAACCUGGCCAGAUAAAAGUCUACAAAUG